ACGAACGCUGGCGGCGUGCCUAAUACAUGCAAGUAGAACGCUGAAGGAGGAGCUUGCUCUUCUGGAUGAGUUGCGAACGGGUGAGUAACGCGUAGGUAACCUGCCUGGUAGCGGGGGAUAACUAUUGGAAACGAUAGCUAAUACCGCAUAACAGUAGAUGUUGCAUGACAUUUACUUAAAAGGUGCAAUUGCAUCACUACCAGAUGGACCUGCGUUGUAUUAGCUAGUUGGUGGGGUAACGGCUCACCAAGGCGAUGAUACAUAGCCGACCUGAGAGGGUGAUCGGCCACACUGAGACUGAGACACGGCCCAGACUCCUACGGGAGGCAGCAGUAGGGAAUCUUCGGCAAUGGACGGAAGUCUGACCGAGCAACGCCGCGUGAGUGAAGAAGGGUUUCGGAUCGUAAAGCUCUGUUGUAAGAGAAGAACGAGUGUGAGAGUGGAAAGUUCACACUGUGACGGUAGCUUACCAGAAAGGGACGGCUAACUACGUG
rnacentral:rRNA from 1 species